GCGCCCGUAGCUCAGCUGGAUAGAGUACUGCCCUCCGAAGGCAGGGGUCGGACGUUCGAACCGUCUCGGGCGCGCCA
rnacentral:tRNA from 2 species